GCCCCCCUACGGGAGGCAGCAGUGAGGAAUAUUGGUCAAUGGGCGCAAGCCUGAACCAGCCAAGUCGCGUGAGGGAUGACGGUCCUAUGGAUUGUAAACCUCUUUUGUCGGGGAGCAAGGCCCGCCACGUGUGGCGGGAAGGAGGGUACCCGAAGAAAAAGCAUCGGCUAACUCCGUGCCAGCAGCCGCGGUAAUACGGAGGAUGCGAGCGUUAUCCGGAUUUAUUGGGUUUAAAGGGGGCGUAGGCGGAAGGUUAAGUCAGCGGUCAAAUGUAGGUGCUCAACACAGGCCUGCCGUUGAAACUG
rnacentral:rRNA from 1 species